AGCGUUGCUCGGAAUCACUGGGCGUAAAGCGCACGUAGGCGGAUUGCUAAGUCAGGGGUGAAAUCCUGGAGCUCAACUCCAGAACUGCCUUUGAUACUGGCAAUCUCGAGUCCGGGAGAGGUGAGUGGAACUGCGAGUGUAG
rnacentral:rRNA from 1 species